GCGUGAACGCCAAUCAGGGCUCGGCUGGGCGCGGGCCGCAGGAACGCAGCCGGACUCGCCAGUUUGAAUGCCCGCUGGGUUAUUCUCAGCGCUCCGCGGGUGGAAAAGAGGGACGUCAUUUGUCCCUAAACAGAAUAACCUGAGACCGCUGGUACCAUGGCUGUGGACGUGUCGGAUCGUGGGAAUCCCUAGCGCUGGUCGCGCUCCUGAGUCCGCUUCCAAACCUCAUUCACGACCCGAAAAGGAUGCAUGCAUAUAUAUGUGUGUGUGUAUGCACACAUAUAUAUGCUUUAGCGGAAUGGAAUAAAUAAUAUCUAUAAAAUAA